rnacentral:rRNA from 1 species
UUGCUUCUUUGCUGGCGACCGGCGCACGGGUGAGUAACACGUAUCCAACCCGCCCUUUACUCGGGAUAGCCUUUCGAAAGAAAGAUUAAUACCCGAUAGUAUAAUGAUUCCGCAUGGUUUCAUUAUUAAAGGAUUCCGGUAAAGGAUGGGGAUGCGUUCCAUUAGGUUGUUGGUGAGGUAACGGCUCACCAAGCCUUCGAUGGAUAGGGGUUCUGAGAGGAAGGUCCCCCACAUUGGAACUGAGACACGGUCCAA